UGGUGGGGUGACUUGUCUGCUUAAUUGCGAUAACGAACGAGACCUUAACCUGCUAAAUAGUCCCGCAUUGCUCCGGCAGUGCGCUGGCUUCUUAGAGGGGACUUUCGGCUCAAGCCGAAGGAAGUUUGAGGCAAUAACA
rnacentral:rRNA from 1 species